rnacentral:rRNA from 1 species
UUUGGGGUGGGGUGACUGCGUACCUUUUGUAUAAUGGGUCAGCGACUUAUAUUCUGUAGCAAGGUUAACCGUAUAGGGGAGCCGAAGGGAAACCGAGUCUUAACUGGGCGUUAAGUUGCAGGGUAUAGACCCGAAACCCGGUGAUCUAGCCAUGGGCAGGUUGAAGGUUGGGUAACACUAACUGGAGGACCGAACCGACUAAUGUUGAAAAAUUAGCGGAUGACUUGUGGCUGGGGGUGAAAGGCCAAUCAAACCGGGAGAUAGCUGGUUCUCCCCGAAAGCUAUUUAGGUAGCGCCUCGUGAACUCAUCUUCGGGGGUAGAGCACUGUUUCGGCUAGGGGGUCAUCCCGACUUACCAACCCGAUGCAAACUGCGAAUACCGAAGAAUGUUAUCACGGGAGACACACGGCGGGUGCUAACGUCCGUCGUGAAGAGGGAAACAACCCAGACCGCCAGCUAAGGUCCCAAAGUCACAGUUAAGUGGGAAACGAUGUGGGAAGGCUCAGACAGCCAGGAUGUUGGCUUAGAAGCAGCCAUCAUUUAAAGAAAGCGUAAUAGCUCACUGGUCGAGUCGGCCUGCGCGGAAGAUGUAACGGGGCUAAACUGUGCACCGAAGCUGCGGCAGCGACGCUUAUGCGUUGUUGGGUAGGGGAGCGUUCUGUAAGCCUGCGAAGGUGUCCUGUGAGGGAUGCUGGAGGUAUCAGAAGUGCGAAUGCUGACAUAAGUAACGAUAAUGCGGGUGAAAAGCCCGCUCGCCGGAAGACCAAGGGUUCCUGUCCAACGUUAAUCGGGGCAGGGUGAGUCGACCCCUAAGGCGAGGCCGAAAGGCGUAGUCGAUGGGAAACGGGUUAAUAUUCCCGUACUUGGUGUUACUGCGAAGGGGGGACGGAGAAGGCUAUGUUGGCCGGGCGACGGUUGUCCCGGUUUAAGCGUGUAGGCUGGUUUUCCAGGCAAAUCCGGAAAAUCAAG